GAGUUUCUGCUUGUUGAAUCAAUGUCAAGCUCUUCUUUCUAAAAAAUAAAUGUGAAAGUUAUUUCAGCAAAUUUAGCUAGCUUACUCAAUGAUCCUGCUUACAUUUACAUUUACAUUUAAGUCAUUUAGCAGACGCUCUUAUCCAGAGCGACUUACAAAUUAGUAUGUAUGCCCUCACACUAGUCUGAGAGAGACUGGGAGAAAACGGAGCUUGUUACAGUCAACCUCCCUCCUUUCUGAACUCUGUUGGGUUAGAUGGUUUGCCUCAGGACAGGAGAUAUUGGUUUAAUGUGACUACGGUUUUUCACAGUCACUACUCGUUUGCGUGAUCUAAUCGGAUAUUCCCGUACAUACAAAUCUGUUGUUGUGUGUGUGUGAGACACACUCGAGUCUAAAAUAACCAACCAGUUUUGUCUCUUAAAACCCCUGAGAGAAAUAGUCCCCAUCCCCUGGAAUAUAGAACACUGGACGCAACAAGCACUGAUAACCUUGGAACUAGCCUGUAUUAAACCCUGAUACUAAACUUAGCAUAUUAUUAUCAUAUUAGUUCAUAUACAGAGAUAAUAUACAGAAAUGAUAUAUAGAGAUAAUAACUCAUUUAUUUUUUGUCUCUGAGAUACUGAAGUAAAAGAAGGAAGGGAAACCUAGUGUGUAGGAACUUUAACCUCGUCUGUUGGAUCACAUAUUUCAGGGUUCCCUAACUGACGGCCCGGUUCUAUUUGCCCCCAUCCCUCCCCCAAGUUUUCAGAGCAAAAUGUUUUUAUAAAAACAAAACGAUUAUUUUCCGCUCAAGAAAUAAUCGUCCCGCGACUGAAUCUGGUUGAUGGUCCCUGACACGUUUAUUAUAAAUGUUGACGGCGUCAGUGUUGCAGUAGAUCACAUAUUUAUUAGUAUGUGUCAUGUUGAGCGUUGAGAAGCUAGCUAGCUGUGCCCACACAGUGUUUUUGAGUUUUGCCAAGACACUUUAAUCACUUUAAUUUCAGUUUUUAUUAAAAAAAUAACUGUUGCAGUUGUUUUAAGUGUGUGUGUGUGUGUGUGUGUGUGUGUGUGUGUGUGUGUGUGUGUGUGUGUGUGUGUGUGUGUGUGUGUGUGUGUGUGUGUGUGUGUGUGUGUGUGUGUGUGUGUGUGUGUGUGUACGUGAAAGUCCAUCUCUAACCCAGCCUCUAUUGUCAUUGUCUUUACACAUACUUUCCAUACUCAUCCCUGGUCGAUGAGUGAAACAACAAUGUUUUUGCCGUUGUGUCUACAUUUAGAACUGAAAUGGACAUGCCAAAUGAAUAACGUAUAUAUUCUUCAAGUCACCCCUCACAGCUUCAACCACGUCCAGUGUCUCUAGGAAGCCCUACACGGGUCAGAUAUUUGCCCCUGAGAUGUCUGGGAUAUCCCAGGAUCCCCUUUAAUUUGACUUUUUUCUUUCUUUUCUUUCUUUCUUCACUUCUGACUGUUUAUUUAAACAAUUUAAAAAUGUUUUAUACAUGUUCUUGAUUUUUCACAAAAGGCAGUUGUAAAAGCAGGUCCCAUUUUACAGCUGUACAACACGUUCUGUAUUAACACUUCUCCCAAUUAACGAUGUAAUGAUUCAUUUAAUCAGUCCAUUCAUCUUUGUCUGAUUGAUUGUUUUUAUGCAGAAAAUUAAUACAUUUUUACCUGAAGACUCACUUGUAUGAAUCAUUUUCUGUGGAGGGGGAAAAGCUGGUAUUUUUUUAAAAGUUGGACUAUUGUGUUGAAACAACCAAUCCAAUCCACAAGCCAUGCAAAUCUACCAUAAGCAAUCAUAGGUUAUGAGUAGUAGGUAUACUGAUACAUAUACAAACACUAAACUAUCUUCAGUUGAUUUGAUUGAUUGAUUCAUUAAUUGAUUCAUUGAUUGGUAGAUGGACUGACUGACUGACUGACUGACUGACUGACUGACUGAUUGGUGGAUGGACUGACUGACUGACUGAUUGGUGGAUGGACUGACUGACUGACUGGUGGAUGGACUGACUGACUGACUGACUGAUUGGUGGAUGGACUGACUGACUGACUGACUGAUUGGUGGAUGGACUGACUGACUGACUGACUGACUGAUUGGUGGAUGGACUGACUGACUGACUGAUUGCUGAGGGGUACAGUCAAUGGCUGGAUCUGGUGGGGUAAACUUUUACAAAUGAAAACGCUAAGACAUUCAAGCAACCGUUUCAAAUUGUAUUGAUUGUUUGAUGUUUUGUGAGUGUGUUCAACUCUUCACGUGUGUGUGUGUGUGUGUGUGUGUGUGUGUGUGUGUGUGUGUGUGUGUGUGUGUGUGUGUGAGAGAGAGAG